AGUGAACGCUGGCGGUAGGCCUAACACAUGCAAGUCGAACGGCAGCACAGUAAGAGCUUGCUCUUACGGGUGGCGAGUGGCGGACGAUUGAGGAAAACAUCGCUAUCUACUUUUUCGAGCGGGAUAACGUAGGGAAAAUUACGCCAAUACCGCAUACGACCAACGGGUGAAAGCAGGGGAUCUUCCGCCCUUGCACGAUCCAAUGAGCCGGUGUCGGAUUAGCUAGUUGGUGGGGUAAAGGCCCACCAAGGCGACGAUCCGUAGCUGGUCUGAGAGGAUGAUCAGCACCACGGGACCAGAGACACGGUCCAACCUCUUAGGGGAGGCAGCGGUGGGAAAUUUUGGCCAAUGGGCGAAAGCCUCAUCCAGCCAUCCCGCGUGGGUGAAAAGGGCCUUCGGUUUGAAAAGACCUUUUGUUGGGAAAGAAAAGAAGCAGGUUACAACCCCGCUGUUUUGACGGUACCAAAGAAUAAGCACCGGCUAACUUCGUG
rnacentral:rRNA from 1 species